rnacentral:lncRNA from 1 species
GUAUUGUUCAACCCUGUAAAACCUUUUGGUAUAUAUUCAAAGGAGGGUAAUAACUGAAUUUUGGAACCUCCUUAACAGCAUAUAAAAAAAAAAGCUUUUUCAGUUUAUUGAAAUAUAACUUGAAUUUUUCUUAUUAAUCUCUAGACUAUGAAUGUAUGAACUGAAGUUGAACUGCUUUUGAUAGUGAACUGUCCAACUCUUCAGUGUCUAUUCAGAUAUGCUUCAUAUCUCCUGGGUUCCUAAGACACUUUUUGCCUGAAAUCCCAUAUUUUGCCUUCAGUUUGAUGCAUAAUUCUUCUGCAUUGCACUUUAUCAAUAAGUAUUCUGUUUCAUGUAUUCAUCCACCAGAGAUUGGGGCUCUUUCUAACUCUUCCUCUACAAAAUUGGGAAAUUUGACCUAUAUAAUCCAGGCAGUAUUUCAGAGAGGGUUGUUUGAUUUUGACACAAGAAGCAGUGGUACCUCCUACACUACCUUCAAAAGAUACCAAGGCACAAUAGAAGGAUGUGCAAUGAACCUUCCCUAAAAUUGUAUUUCAGGGGUAGAGGGAAGAACAUUCAGUUUGUCCUGGAAAAUUCAAUUUAGCAGGUGGGCAAGAUUAUGUUUUGGACCCUUCCAGCUCACUGUGAUUUUAUGAUACCAGUGCUUGACUUCAAUGACUGGGAAUGGGGAAGAGGAGGAGCUGCAGCAGUAACUCCCAGGAGCUUACCACUGCCCAAGCCUUUGUUCAGUCCUGGCCUUCCCUCUAAAAAAAGAAGACCACUAAGGGAAUGAACCAUUUCAACCUACAUCACUCUGAGGCACUGACAGGAGUUAUAGGAAUAUUUGACUCUUAAAUUGUUUUUUUUCACACUGACCACUGACAGAGUUUAAGACAAGUUUUAACACUGGCACCAUUCAAAACAGUGUUCAGAGACUUCAGCCUCACUUGCAGGGAGUGAACAUCAUCAGCAAUUCUUCUGCUGAUAAGAGCAUUUUAAUGACUCUGAUUAUGAGAAAAAUACUUUUCAAGUGGUUUUAAAGAGCAGCUGAAGGAUGCAGCUUGGCAAGGCAUUUAUAGUACUUCCACCACAAAUUACUAAUACACUAGGAUAACUGUUGAAUUAAUUAUUAAUGGAUUGAGGCCCUUCCCAUGAGGAGA